rnacentral:rRNA from 1 species
CCUACGGGUGGCAGCAGUGGGGAAUAUUGCACAAUGGGGGAAACCCUGAUGCAGCGACGCCGCGUGAGCGAUGAAGUAUUUCGGUAUGUAAAGCUCUAUCAGCAGGGAAGAAAAUGACGGUACCUGACUAAGAAGCCCCGGCUAACUACGUGCCAGCAGCCGCGGUAAUACGUAGGGGGCAAGCGUUAUCCGGAUUUACUGGGUGUAAAGGGAGCGUAGACGGCGAUGAAAGCCAGAUGUGAAAGCCCGGGGCUCAACCCCGGGACUGCAUUUGGAACUGUGUGGCUGGAGUGUCGGAGAGGAAGGCGGAAUCGCUGGUGUAGGGGUGAAAUGCGUAGUGAUUAGGAGGAAAACCAGUG